rnacentral:rRNA from 1 species
AGAGGUCCUGCCUGCCCUGUGACUAUUGUUUAACGGCCGCGGUACUCUGACCGUGCAAAGGUAGCGCAAUCACUUGUCUCUUAAAUGGAGACCUGUAUGAAUGGCAAGACGAGGGCUAAACUGUCUCCUUUUUCAAGUCAAUGAAAUUGAUCCCCCCGUGCAGAAGCGGGGAUGACUACAUAAGACGAGAAGACCCUAUGGAGCUUUAGACAUUAAGGCAGGUCCUGUUAAAUAACCUUAAUUAUAAGAACAAACCUCACAAACACUGCCCGCCUGUCUUUGGUUGGGGUGACCACGGAGAAAACAAAACCCCCGUGCGGAACAAGGGCACUCCCCGCCCUUUAAAUUAAGAGCGCCAGCUCUAACAAACAGAAUAUCUGACCACUAAUGAUCCGGCAAUGCCGAUCAACGGACCGAGUUACCCUAGGGAUAACAGCGCAAUCCCCUCCUAGAGCCCAUAUCGACAAGGGGGUUUACGACCUCGAUGUUGGAUCAGGACAUCCUAAUGGCGCAGCCGCUAUUAAGGGUUCGUUUGUUCAACGAUUAAAGUCCU